AGCGCCCCUCCUUCAAGCAAGCUUGAAGGUCCUUUGGCCGAAGGCCAGGAAAGAGGAUCAAGAAAGCCGAGCUUUCUUGAUGGAGGGGAGCGGCAGACGGGUGAGUAACGCGUGGGAAUCUACCUAGCUCUACGGAAUAACCCAGGGAAACUUGGACUAAUACCGUAUACGUCCGAGAGGAGAAAGAUUUAUCGGAGUUAGAUGAGCCCGCGUUGGAUUAGCUAGUUGGUGGGGUAAAGGCCUACCAAGGCGACGAUCCAUAGCUGGUCUGAGAGGAUGAUCAGCCACACUGGGACUGAGACACGGCCCAGACUCCUACGGGAGGCAGCAGUGGGGAAUAUUGGACAAUGGGCGCAAGCCUGAUCCAGCCAUGCCGCGUGAGUGAUGACGGCCUUAGGGUUGUAAAGCUCUUUCAACGGUGAAGAUAAUGACGGUAACCGUAGAAGAAGCCCCGGCUAACUUCGUGCCAGCAGCCGCGGUAAUACGAAGGGGGCUAGCGUUGUUCGGAAUUACUGGGCGUAAAGCGCACGUAGGCGGAUACUUAAGUCAGGGGUGAAAUCCCGGGGCUCAACCCCGGAACUGCCUUUGAUACUGGGUAUCUAGAGUAUGGUAGAGGUGAGUGGAAUUCCGAGUGUAGAGGUGAAAUUCGUAGAUAUUCGGAGGAACACCAGUGGCGAAGGCGGCUCACUGGACCAUUACUGACGCU
rnacentral:rRNA from 1 species